GUAGGUGAACCUGCGGAAGGAUCAUUACAGUGUUCGCUGCCCUCUGGGUAGCAAACCUCACCCUUUGCGUAUUAUAUAUUUGUUGCUUUGGCACGCCGCCUUCGGGCACCGGCUCCGGCUGGCUCGCGCGUGUCAGAGGACCUCAAACUCUGAAUGUUAGUGUCGUCUGAGUACUAUCUAAUAGUUAAAACUUUCAACAACGGAUCUCUUGGUUCUGGCAUCGAUGAAGAACGCAGCAUCUGACUGACUG
rnacentral:misc_RNA from 1 species